ACAUAUUAAUAUUGUAUAUGUUUGUGUGUGUGUGUGUGUGUGUGUCUGUAUAUAUAAAAACACAUAGAAACAUAAAAACAUGAAUGUAGCCU
rnacentral:miRNA from 1 species